CCUACGGGAGGCUGCAGUGGGGAAUAUUGGGCAAUGGGCGCAAGCCUGACCCAGCAACGCCGCGUGAAGGAAGAAGGCCCUCGGGUUGUAAACUUCUUUUGUCAGGGACGAAACAAAUGACGGUACCUGACGAAUACGCCACGGCUAACUACGUGCCAGCAGCCGCGGUAAUACGUAGGUGGCAAGCGUUAUCCGGAUUUACUGGGUGUAAAGGGCGUGUAGGCGGGAGAGCAAGUCAGAUGUGAAAUUCCAGGGCUCAACCCUGGAACUGCAUUUGAAACUGUUUUUCUUGAGUGAUGGGGAGGUAGGCGGAAUGCGGGGUGUAGCGGGGAAAUGCGUAGAUAUACGGAGGAACACCAGUGGCGAAGGCGGCCUGCGGGACAUUAACUGACGCUGAGGCGCGAAAGCGUGGGGAGCAAACAGGAUUAGAUACCCGAGUAGUC
rnacentral:rRNA from 1 species